CUUGAAACAUCUGUUCCCGUACGAUCCCCGAUGUUAAGCAACGUCGAACCUGGUCAGUACCUAGAUGGGUGACCGCUUCGGAAUACCAGGUUUUGU